AACGAACGCUGGCGGCAUGCUUAACACAUGCAAGUCGAACGAGACCUUCGGGUCUAGUGGCGCACGGGUGCGUAACGCGUGGGAAUCUGCCCUUAGGUACGGAAUAACCCAGAGAAAUAUGUGCUAAUACCGUAUGAUGUCGAAAGACCAAAGAUUUAUCGCCUAAGGAUGAGCCCGCGUAAGAUUAGCUUGUUGGUGAGGUAAAAGCUCACCAAGGCGACGAUCUUUAGCUGGUCUGAGAGGAUGAGCCGCCACCGUGGGACGGAGAAACGGCCCAGAGUCGUAAGGGAGGCAGCAGUGGGGAAUAUUGGACAAUGGGCGAAAGCCUGAUCCAGCAAUGCCGCGUGAGUGAUGAAGGCCUUAGGGUUGUAAGGCUCUUUUACCAGGGAUGAUAAUGACAGUACCUGGAGAAUAAGCUCCGGCUAACUCCGUGCCAGCAGCCGCCGUAA
rnacentral:rRNA from 1 species